rnacentral:rRNA from 1 species
CCUACGGGUGGCAGCAGUGGGGGAUAUUGCACAAUGGGGGGAACCCUGAUGCAGCGACGCCGCGUGGGUGAAGGAGCGUUUAGGCGCGUAAAGCUCUAUCGGCAGGGAAGAAGAUGACGGUACCUGACCAAGAAGCUCCGGCCAACUACGUGCCAGCAGCCGCGGCACUACGUAGGGGGCAAGCGUUAUCCGGAUUUACUGGGUGUAAAGGGGGUGCAGACGGCAAUGCAAGCCAGGAGUGAAAGCCCGAGGCCGAACCCCGAGACUGCUCUUGGAACUGGAUGUCUGGAGUACAGGAGGGGCAGGCGGAAUUCCUAGUGUAGCGGUGAAAUGCGUAGAUAUUAGGAGGAACACCGGUGGCGAAGGCGGCCUGCUGGACUGUGACUGACGUUGAGGCCCGAAGGCGUGGGGAGCAAACAGGAUUAGAUACCCGAGUAGUC